AUGUACCCACGUACAUUCCGGUUCCUCCGCGCCGUCCGCACCCACCUGACGGCUGCUCGCUACGUUUUGUUAGCC
rnacentral:sRNA from 5 species